CCGCAUCGACCUGCGCAUGCGCAUGGACUAUAAAAGGCGGGUUCGCAUGUUCGUUCUUCCCAGUUCCGUCUUCCUUGACCAGGUAGUUUUGCAGUAUGUGGACUGUUGGACCAUGGAGUUGUGCUGUAGUGCUACUCAGAUUUUGAUCAUACUGGAGCAGAAUGGAUAACCUUAAAUUCAUCAGACUUUGUUUCAUAAGUCAUCCACAUACUAAAACAGCAGAUCGAUAGUGUUGACAUUUGCUCUAAACUUUAAGCCAAUUUAUCUGAAGCACCAUCAGAGCUGCUUGGCAUACAAAAUAUUGGUGCUUUUCUUGUUCUUAAGUC